GCACAAGCGGUGGAUCAUGUUGUUUAAUUCGAUGAUACGCGAAGAACCUUACCAGGUCUUGACAUCCCCCGCGAUGCUUUAGAGAUAAAGCGGAGGUAUUCGGGGAGACAGGUGGUGCAUGGUUGUCGUCAGCUCGUGUCGUGAGAUGUUGGGUUAAGUCCCGCAACGAGCGCAGCCCCUAUUGCUAGUUACCAUCAUUAAGUUGGGGACUCUAGCGAGACUGCCAGUGAUAAACUGGAGGAAGGUGGGGAUGACGUCAAAUCAUCAUGCCCCUUAUGACCUGGGCUACAAACGUGAUACAAUGGCUGGAACAAAGGGAUGCGAAGCAGUGAUGUGGAGCGAAACCCAUAAAAACAGUCUCAGUUCGGAUUGAAGUCUGCAACUCGACUUCAUGAAGUCGGAAUCGCUAGUAAUCGCGGAUCAGAACGCCGCGGUGAAUACGUUCUCGGGGUUU
rnacentral:rRNA from 1 species